CGUUCACUCUAGCGAGACUGCCGGUAAUAAACCGGAGGAAGGUGGGGAUGACGUCAAAUCAUCAUGCCCCUUAUGACCUGGGCUACACACGUGCUACAAUGGCUGGAACAACGAGUCGCAAGCCGGUGACGGCAAGCUAAUCUCUUAAAGCCAGUCUCAGUUCGGAUUGUAGGCUGCAACUCGCCUACAUGAAGUCGGAAUCGCUAGUAAUCGCGGAUCAGCACGCCGCGGUGAAUACGUUCCCGGGCCUUGUACACACCGCCCGUCACACCACGAGAGUUUGUAACACCCGAAGUCGGUGAGGUAACCGUAAGGAGCCAGCCGCCUAAGGUGGGAUAGAUGAUUGGGGUGAAGUCGUAACAAGGUAACCGUAA
rnacentral:rRNA from 1 species